rnacentral:lncRNA from 1 species
AUAUUUUUGGACUAUUUUCCCCAUUUCUUCGAAGAAAUAAGCCCCACAAUUUCAUAACCAGUCUAACGCACAAAAUAUAUUUUUAGACGUUUCGAGAAUCACUCAGGUCAACGUAAUGCCAUACAAAUAAGUCAGAUAAAAACCCCAGUUCCUACGCAUUUAUUUCCACCACUUGUUGUUGUUGUUAGGUGCGUCAAAUUAUGCGGCUUUCCUGGGUUGUAUAUAUAAUGAGAGUACCAUGAAAGGUAUAAAUAAACAGUUUUAAAUCCUUGAGCACUAUAGUUUGUAUGCCCAUUAAUUAUUCAAAGCUUUAACAAUCAAGAUGGAAGAUCUCAUCAUCAGCUCUGACAAUGUUGUUGAUCAACUAUUUGAUACGGGAUUGACGGCAGAGGAAGAGUUUCGACUGGCUUGAUGUCCAUGUAGUAAAUAUGUUUAUAUGAAUAUCAUUCUCUACUUCAUUUUGUAAGUUGCCAAGGAUAGUCUAGACAUAGUCAAAGUCUUGGUAUUCCUAAUUCUGAAGUAGAAAAUGGAUUAUGGUUUUGCAAAAACCAGAGAUGUGAUAUGAAUUCAGCUUGCUGGUUAUUUAUUAAUCUAAUUUAUAUAUUUUUAAAUCUGAAAUACAAAAUGCAAAAUUAAA